rnacentral:rRNA from 1 species
UGGGGAAUAUUGCACAAUGGGCGCAAGCCUGAUGCAGCCAUGCCGCGUGUAUGAAGAAGGCCUUCGGGUUGUAAAGUACUUUCAGCGGGGAGGAAGGGAGUAAAGUUAAUACCUUUGCUCAUUGACGUUACCCGCAGAAGAAGCACCGGCUAACUCCGUGCCAGCAGCCGCGGUAAUACGGAGGGUGCAAGCGUUAAUCGGAAUUACUGGGCGUAAAGCGCACGCAGGCGGUUUGUUAAGUCAGAUGUGAAAUCCCCGGGCUCAACCUGGGAUCUGCAUCUGAUACUGGCAAGCUUGAGUCUCGUAGAGGGGGGUAGAAUUCCAGGUGUGGCGGUGAAAUGCGUAGAGAUCUGGAGGAAUACCGGUGGCGAAGGCGGCCCCCUGGACGAAGACUGACGCUCAGGUGCGAAAGCGUGGGGAGCAAACAGG